rnacentral:rRNA from 1 species
UACAGAGGUCCCAAGCGUUGUUCGGAUUCACUGGGCGUAAAGGGUGCGUAGGUGGUUGCGCAAGUCUGAUGUGAAAUCUCCGGGCUCAACCCGGAAAUGGCAUUGGAAACUGCGUGGCUAGAGGGUUGGAGGGGGGACUGGAAUACUUGGUGUAGCAGUGAAAUGCGUAGAUAUCAAGUGGAACACCAGUGGCGAAGGCGAGUCCCUGGACAACACCUGACACUGAGGCACGAAAGCUAGGGGAGCAAACAGG